CCCUUAGAUGUCCGGGGCCGCACGCGCGCUACACUGAAGGAAUCAGCGUGGCUUUCUCCCUGACCCGAAAGGGUUGGGAAACCCGUUGAAUCUCCUUCGUGAUAGGGAUUGGGGCUUGAAAUUGUUCCCCAUGAACGAGGAAUUCCCAGUAAGCGCGAGUCAUAAGCUCGCGUUGAUUACGUCCCUGCCCUUUGUACACACCGCCCGUCGCACCUACCGAUUGAGUGGUCCGGUGAGGCUUUGGGAUCUGAGCGGAAAGAGCGUUUCGCUGUUUCUGCUCGGAAAACUCAGUCGAACCUUAUCAUUUAGAGGAAGGAGAAGUCGUAACA
rnacentral:rRNA from 1 species